rnacentral:lncRNA from 1 species
GCUCCCUAGUGUGCUGUUGCUAAUGACUUGGUUAUUUUCCAGGUUUAUAUUCAGUGUUUGUCAUUGUAAUCGAUUACGGUCAUGUUGUAAGCGAUUACAUUGGCAUGUGUACCAGAAGUCCAACGCUGCUCCCUAACCCUGCCACAAGGAGCUGCCAGUGUGUUGUUGCUAAUGACUUUGUUAUUUUCCUGGUCUGUAUUCAGUGUUUGUAAUUGUAAUCGAUGACGAUCAUGUUGUAAGCGAUUACGUUGGCAUUUGUACCAAAAGUCCAACGCUGCUCCUUGCCCCUGCUAGAGGGGGCUCCCC